CAGCACUGCACCGCGUCAUAUUUUGGCAAUAGUAAACCGCUGUGAGCUUCUGCUCCAUUUUUUGGACCAUUGGCUAUGCUUUUAAUGUUCGAUCGAGUGUUUUUGUAGGAAAAAAAGACUGAAUAACAUAUCCCCAGUUGGGGCAUUAACGGAUUAGGAAUGUGCGGUUGAUUUUUCCGCCCAUCUUUUGUCCUAUGACAUUCAAUAAAAUCGAGGGGAAUUAAAGGAAUUGAUACACGAUUAGUCUCAGUUAACAAUUUACUUACCAUGGAGGAGACAAUGAAGAAGGAUAGACGAGAUUUCCUGCGGCAAAGACAAGCAUACAUCGUUUACAACCCUGGAUGAAUACUAAAAGUAAUUUUCGAAUUCCUAUUUCAGACGACUGGAACAUCAUUAAGCCUCCUGUCUUUGGGAAGAAGGUCAUAUUAUCACUUCCUCAGAGGAUCCUAAAUGUUGACCUCUCAAGUUAUUCUGAAUUAUUUGAGGGUAACUUUGGAAGUAAAAUUUCUAAAAAAUUGUCUCUGAAAAUCAUACUGAAAUCACUCAAAAUCGCACAAAACGUAAAUACGUAAUGUCCUCUUAGAGUUAUUUUUUUUACAAAAACAAAAAAAAAUAAACUUUGGAAGUGAACCUGAAGAGAUUUAAAAUCGCCUGAAGCGUGGAGAUUAAUUAUCCGCAGGAAGCGGCCAAACGAUUUUUUGUUUCACGCAAGAGGCUAGGCUGCAAUUCCCUGACAACGUAGAUAAAACCUUUUGGUUGAAUCUUCGCAGACCCGGAUACAGUCUGAACCGCAGUAGAGUGGCCAUCAUAUAAUAGCCAAUUUGCUAAUGUCCAACAAUAUCCAACGUAUCUGUCUUCAGUGUAAGCAAUUAUUCCCGCUAAUAUGUUGACAUUUUAUUUAUAAAAAAAAGUUAGUUAAUCAUUCAAUAAACACCACGAAUUAUUAUUAGUAUUAUUGUAUAUUGAGGGUGAUCAACAUGCGCUGAAAUAAAUGAUUUUAAAGUUUGUCUAUAUUAAUCAUUUCGAUCAGCAACUAAUAUUGUUGGACAAUUUUUUAAAAAUCGA